GGAAGGGAGGGAGGUGGAAGGGGAAGGGACAGGGGACGUGGAAGGGGAGAAGGAAGGUUUAGAGAUAGAGGAAGGAAACGGCAAAGAGAAGAAAGUAGACCUAGUAGACUGGGUGGUAUUAAAGGUCCUCGCCUAGCAGACAGAUCCCGUCCUUUGAGUUACCGGGCUAGAUCUCCCCCUGGGUAUCCAGUGUUUGACAGAACCCCGACCUACGCUGAUUAUCUCAGGUUAGUGUACUGCAGGAUUUGUAACGUACUGC